CUUUAAAUUCCGUGAUUGUGAAAUUAUUUCAGGGAUAAAAACUACUUGAAGCCCUGUAGACUAUCCAUCUUACAUGCUAAUGUUUCAGGCAUUUUAACAAGUGCUAAUAUUGUGUAGACCUAUUAACUAAAAUUGAGAUUUUCCUUCCCUCAGUUGUUUUGAGCCUCAUUCUACAAAAUUAGCUGGGUGCGGUUGCGCAUUGCUGUAAUCCCAAAUAUUCGGGAGGCCGAGGUAGGAGAAUUGCUUGAACCCGGGAGGAAGAGGUUGUGGUGAGCCGAGAUCAUCAGCAUUGCACUCCAGCCUGGGCAACAAGAGCAAGACUCUACCUCAAAAAAAAAAAAAAAAAAAAAAAAAUUACCUAGGCAUAGUGGUGCAAACCUGUAAUCCCAGCUACUUGGGAGGCUGAGGCAUGAGAAUCGCUUGAACCUGGGAGGUGGAGGUUGUGGUGAGCCAAGAUCGCACCACUGCACUCGAAUCUGAGCAACAGAGCGAGACUCUAAGUCAAAAAAUAAAUAAAUACAUAAAAUAAAUCGCAUGGGAUGAAAGGCUUUGCGGGUAGAAGAGCAUAUAACAGGGAAAUCUGUUAUUAUUUAUAUAUUAUAAUCGUCAACAGAAAUGUGUCUUCUAACAGCAUAUUGCCUCGCAUUUUGGUUCUCAUAUUUUUGCAAAAACCCAAGAAAUGAAACAAAGUGCCCUUAUGGUGCUGUUCUGAACUAGAAGAUUUGAAUUUCAGGGCCGCUAGGAGAGUUUCCUCUGCCCCCAUUUUAAAAAGUGUCUUCAGGCCUAACAAAUGAUAACAUCUAUUGUUAUGAAUUGUUUUUCCUUCCACAGAGUGACUUUGGAGAUACAUCAUGAUAUCACACAAAGACAUGCAGAUGGAUCUUUGAGCAUAUUUGAUGAACAGUUAUACUCAUUUACGGUUUCCACCAUGCACAUUACCCAGACAAGAAGUGGAGGUGGGAGUUUUAGUAACUAUUCCUCCUCCAUUCCAUCGACUCCCAGCACCAGCCAGGAGGACCUUCAGAUCAAUGUUCCUCCCACUGCCGACACACCCACGCCCGUUCGCAAGCAGACCAAGCGCUGGUCCAAGCUGUUCACAUCUGAGAAAGGGAGUCACCCAGACAAAGAGAAGAAAGCCCCAGAGAGUCAUGCUGACACCAUUGGGAGUGGCAGAGCCAUCCCCAUUAAACAGGGCAUGCUCUUAAAGCUAAGUGGGAAAUGGCUGAAGAAAUGGAAAAAGAAAUAUGCCACCCUCUGUGACAAUGGCACGCUCACCUAUUAUUCAAGCUUAGGUGAUUAUAUGAAGAAUAUUCACAAAAAAGAGACUGACCUUCGAACAUGUACCAUCGAAGUCCCAGGAAAGAGGCCACCCCUAGCCACACUGGCCUGUGCACCCAUUUCCAGCUCUAAAGGCAAUGGCCUAUUCAAAGACAUGAACAGUCUAUGUACCUCAGCCAAUUCAGACACCGGGCUGAGUGACUCCAUAUGCUCCAGCCCCAAUAUCUCCAGCACCACCAGCCCCAAGCUCAACCCACCCCCCUCUUCUCAUGCCAACAAAAAGAAACACCAAAGGAAGAAAUGCACCAACAACUUAAAAGACAAUGGCCUGUCUGGCACUGCUGAAAAACAAGCAGAAAACUUUAUCAUUGUGUCCCUCACUGGCCAAACGUGGCACUUUGAAGCCACGUCAUAUGAGGAGCGGGAUGCCUGGGUCCAAGCCAUCGAGAGCCAGAUUGUGGCCAGCCUGCA
rnacentral:lncRNA from 1 species